AAUAAGUGUAAUUUUGCACUAUUCAUCUCCAACGUCUGACCGUUUGUCUUAUUUGAAAAUUUCUUAUGAUUACUAUUUUUAUUUUUAUUGUUAUUAGAUGAUAAAACAUGAAUAGUAUUUUAUGUGUGACUAUUUUUUAAAAAAAAUCAUAAAUUUUUCAAAUAAGACGGACGGUCAAACGUUGGACACGGAGUUCCACGGCUGCACUUAUU
rfam:Oryza glaberrima chromosome 12 Oglab12_0209_37, whole genome shotgun sequence.